rnacentral:rRNA from 1 species
UGAACGCUGGCGGCGUGCCUACUACAUGCAAGUCGAGCGAACAGACGAGGAGCUUGCUCCUCUGACGUUAGCGGCGGACGGGUGAGUAACACGUGGAUAACCUACCUAUAAGACUGGGAUAACUUCGGGAAACCGGAGCUAAUACCGGAUAAUAUAUUGAACCGCAUGGUUCACUAGUGAAAGACGGUUUUGCUGUCACUUAUAGAUGGAUCCGCGCCGCAUUAGCUAGUUGGUAAGGUAACGGCUUACCAAGGCAACGAUGCGUAGCCGACCUGAGAGGGUGAUCGGCCACACUGGAACUGAGACACGGUCCAGACUCCUACGGGAGGCAGCAGUAGGGAAUCUUCCGCAAUGGGCGAAAGCCUGACGGAGCAACGCCGCGUGAGUGAUGAAGGUCUUCGGAUCGUAAAACUCUGUUAUUAGGGAAGAACAAAUGUGUAAGUAACUAUGCACGUCUUGACGGUACCUAAUCAGAAAGCCACGGCUAACUACGUG